UGUGUGUGUUGUGUCCAUGUGUAACCAUUGGGGUUUAGGCAGUAGUGUGGGUGGUGUUGUGUCCAUGUGUAACCAUUGGGGUUUAGGCAGUAGUGUGUGUGUGUGUUGUGGAGCAUUAGUGUGUGUGUGUGUGUGUGUGUGUGUGUGUGUGGUGUGGAGCAUUAGUGUGUGUGUGUGGUGUGGAGCAAUAGUGUGUGUGUGUGUGUGCAUUAGUGUGUGUGUGUGUGGUGUGGAGCAUUAUGUGUGUGUGUGUGUUGUGACAACAGUUCAUCAGAGGACAAGUGCUAGUGACAGCUGAACAGUCAGCUGGGGAGAGAAUGGCUGAGCCCAGGGAAAAUAGAGCUGCACAGGG
ensembl:lncRNA